GGGGGUAUUGCUCAGUGGUAGAGCACGUCCUUGGCCCACACGAGGUCCUAGGUUCAAUCCCCAGUGCCUCUG
rnacentral:tRNA from 1 species